rnacentral:rRNA from 1 species
GAUGAACGCUGGCGGCGUGCCUAAUACAUGCAAGUCGAGCGAACAGACGAGGAGCUUGCUCCUCUGACGUUAGCGGCGGACGGGUGAGUAACACGUGGAUAACCUACCUAUAAGACUGGGAUAACUUCGGGAAACCGGAGCUAAUACCGGAUAACAUGUUGAACCGCAUGGUUCAACAGUGAAAGACGGUCUUGCUGUCACUUAUAGAUGGAUCCGCGCCGCUUUAGCUAGUUGGUAAGGUAACGGCUUACCAAGGCAACGAUGCGUAGCCGACCUGAGAGGGUGAUCGGCCACACUGGAACUGAGACACGGUCCAGACUCCUACGGGAGGCAGCAGUAGGGAAUCUUCCGCAAUGGGCGAAAGCCUGACGGAGCAACGCCGCGUGAGUGAAGAAGGUCUUCGGAUCGUAAAACUCUGUUAUUAGGGAAGAACAAAUGUGUAAGUAACUAUGCACGUCUUGACGGUACCUAAUCAGAAAGCCACGGCUAACUACGUG